UACGUAGGGGGCAAGCGUUGUCCGGAUUUAUUGGGCGUAAAGAGCUCGUAGGCGGCUCGGUAAGUCGGAUGUGAAACCUCCAGGCUCAACCUGGAGACGCCAUCUGAUACUGCCGUGGCUUGAGUCCGGUAGAGGAGCAGGGAAUUCCUGGUGUAGCGGUGAAAUGCGCAGAUAUCAGGAGGAACACCAGCGGCGAAGGCGCUGCUCUGGGCCGGUACUGACGCUGAGGAGCGAAAGCUAGGGGAGCAAACGGG
rnacentral:rRNA from 1 species